rnacentral:misc_RNA from 1 species
UUUUGUGCGUGUGCUACGAAAUAUAUUCGUUUCGUCGUAAUAUAGUGAAAUGCGCGUCGGGAGUGCCGUUUAAAAUGUCGCGCGAUUUUCGUAUUCGGGUGUGCGCGCGAGCAAUGCGUGUGCCGCAUGUGAGUGUGAACGCGUGUGAGUGUCAAAGGACCGCUGAGAGAAGAAGAAGAGACUUCGGAGACAUCGGGCGACAGCAGAGCAACGAUACAGUUUUCGGCGCUAACACGGCGGUACAAAUUUAUUGUGUGAUCUACGCGUCUUCGAAACUUUUGGAUCUAAGGUCAAAAUCAACGCAUCGUGUAUUAAAAGAGGGACCUCAGUAAGAAAAAGCUGUAUCCAGUUUCGAAGCUUUUGACCGACCAAGUGAUUCAUCUAACCAAGUUACUUGAUUCUAUCAGGAACUCAUUGGAUCGACGCUGCUCCCAAAGCGCUGCUGCAAUAAAAGCUUUGCAUGCGGAUCAGUACUCGCCUUUUCGUCAAUCUUCGUAAAGGUCGAUCCGGAUCUGCAUAAAGCGUAAGGAGUGACUCUCUCGCUUGCCCAUUUAAACCCCUUCCUGGGAAGCAACGACCACCUCGACGAGCGUUCACGGGAGUUAAUAACAUAGAAAAAGGAAGUCACACGAUUGAGGUAAUAAAGGUGAUGAAAUGUUGCGGCUGAUAUAUCUAAAGCGCUAACACGGGGACGAGGGAGGUGCGAGUACACGCGUAGUUAUUAAAGCACACAGAUGGGUGGGAUCAUGUUCUCAUUAACUGUACGGCUGCGUGCAGCUGUUCGGUGAACUAACAGUAACGACUGGGGCAUGGAUGACGAGGGAUCCGAGGUGCCUAAACGAGACGAUUCUCAAGAGGAGUGUAAUGUCGACGAGAAGACACAAGAUGUCAUCGAACAUGAUGACGUAAGUCGGGAGCGAAUGAAAGGCUAUCUUAUAUUGCGAACGAAAAUUUUAGAU